ACUUAAAAGAAAAGAAGUAAAAAAUGAUUCAGGAAAAGUAAGUCCAAAAACAUAAUGUCACAGUGCCCUAAUUCUUCUCAUCGCUACAGAAAGCUUCUCCGCCACCAUCUCUGCACGCCACCAUCUCCGCCACCUUCCCGUGGCGUCGCCUCUAUCCCUCGCCGCACUCGUUACUUCCCCCGGCCGCUGCCGUGGAGUCCGAUUUCAAAAAAUGAAUUCAGGAAAAGAAGUCAAAAAACGUAAUGUAACAGUGCCCUAACUUCUUCUCACUGCACAAAGCUUCUCCGCUACCAUCUCUGCGCGCCACCAUCUCCGCCACCUUCUAGCGGCGUCGCCUUCAUCCCUCUCCGCACUCAUUACUUCCCCCGCUGCCGUGAGGUCAGAUUUCGUAGGAAAGAUUUCAAAGUCAUAUUCGUCGCCCUUUUUAGUUCCACAGGUAUCCACGAAACAGAACAAUCGGCCUUGCUCUGCUGUGUUUCGCCGCUGCUCUGGGUUUUCGGUCUGCCGUGCUUUGUUUGCAGCUCUCUCAGUCUUUCUCUGGUCUGCCGUGCUUCGUCGCCUCUGAGUCUAAGGUAACUUGGAUGCAAAGCUAACUUGGAUGCAAAGAGGAAAGAAGACCAUAUUUAGUUAUUGAAAAAUUGAGGCUUCAAGAACAUUUGAUUUUGAAAGUUGAUAUUAGAUUUUGUCUUCCUAGAAACUUGAUAUUAGACUUUCUUUUGUUAUAUUGAUAGUUGAAACUUAGUGCGAGACAUUGGAGAUGAUUGUAACGUACAUUGGUGCUAAUUGAUUGUGUAAUUCGAUAUUUGUUGUUAUUAGUUA